UGGGGAAUAUUGGACAAUGGAGGUAACUCUGAUCCAGCAAUUCUGUGUGCACGAAGAAGGUUUUCGGAUUGUAAAGUGCUUUCAGUAGGGAAGAAGAAAGUGACGGUACCUACAGAAGAAGCGACGGCUAAAUACGUGCCAGCAGCCGCGGUAAUACGUAUGUCGCAAGCGUUAUCCGGAAUUAUUGGGCUUAAAGGGCAUCUAGGCGGUUUUUCAAGUCAGGGGUGAAAACUUAUGGCUCAACUAUAAGCUUGCCUUUGAAACUGAAAGACUAGAGUACUGGAAAGGUGGGUGGAACUACACGAGUAGAGGUGAAAUUCGUAGAUAUGUGUAGGAAUGCCGAUGAUGAAGAUAACUCACUGGACAGAAACUGACGCUGAAGUGCGAAAGCUAGGGGAGCAAACA
rnacentral:rRNA from 1 species